CCUUUGUUCUUGGCCGCCCUCUAAUU
rnacentral:sRNA from 1 species